rnacentral:rRNA from 1 species
AGUGAACGCUGGCGGCAGGCCUAACACAUGCAAGUCGAGCGGCAGCGGGUCCCCGCGAGGGGAUGCCGGCGAGCGGCGGACGGGUGAGGAACACAUCGGAAUCUGCCUGGUUGUGGGGGAUAACGUAGGGAAACUUACGCUAAUACCGCACGCGACCCUGAGUCGACGGACUGGGGGUGAAAGUGAGGGACCUUCGGGCCUCACGCGACCAGAUGAGCCGAUGUCGGAUUAGCAGUUGGCGGGUAACGGCCCGCCAAGGCGACGAUCCGUAGCUGGUCUGAGAGGAUGAUCAGCCACA